rnacentral:tRNA from 1 species
GCUAUCGUAGCUUAAAAUAAAGCAUAUCACUGAAGAUGUUAGAAUGAACUCUAGUAUGUUCCGAAAGCA